AAGCUCGUAGUUGAAUUUCGGGAUCAGACUGUCGGUCGUGCCUCGGUACGCACUGGCAUUAUUGGUUCCUACCUUCUGAAGAACCGCGAUGUCAUUAAUUUGGUGUCGCGGGGAAUCAGGACUGUUACUUUGAAAAAAUUAGAGUGUUUAAAGCAGGCUUACGCUUGAAUACAUUAGCAUGGAAUAAUGAAAUAGGACGUUUGAUUCUAUUUUGUUGGCUUCUAGGAUCGACGUAAUGAUUAAUAGGGAUAGUUGGG
rnacentral:rRNA from 1 species